UAUGGUGUCCUGCUUUGCUGCUGCUCAGGAUUUCCUCAUCCAAAUGGGGAUUGUGAUCUUUCCCUAAAACUUUUGGAAGAAUAGGGUGAGGGAAAUCUGUGAGCAAGCUUUAUCAACUAUGACACCAUCUUCUGAAGAUCAGGGUCACACUCACCUCUGAAGUCCCUGACUCUGUGGAGUUUAAAGUGUCUCCUUUAUGGAAAACAAGCAAGAGGGAUUUGGAUAGAGGUGUACGGAUAGAUACCUGGGAAUGUGCUACAUCCUUAGAUGACCCCAUUGUCCCAGGACACCCCCGCACCCCCCCCCAGCCAAGGGCAGUAUGUGCUCCAGUGGCUGAGGGUGACCGCCCACCUCUGUUCCUCUAGAAGGUUCUGUAGUAUCCCAGGAAAUACAAACAACCCUGAGCAAACACCCCA